UAAAAAAAUCGUAACAAGGUCUCCGUUGGUGAACCAGCGGAGGGAUCAUUACCGAGUUUACAACUCCCAAACCCCUGUGAACAUACCAAUUGUUGCCUCGGCGGAUCAGCCCGCUCCCGGUAAAACGGGACGGCCCGCCAGAGGACCCCUAAACUCUGUUUCUAUAUGUAACUUCUGAGUAAAACCAUAAAUAAAUCAAAACUUUCAACAACGGAUCUCUUGGUUCUGGCAUCGAUGAAGAACGCAGCAAAAUGCGAUAAGUAAUGUGAAUUGCAGAAUUCAGUGAAUCAUCGAAUCUUUGAACGCACAUUGCGCCCGCCAGUAUUCUGGCGGGCAUGCCUGUUCGAGCGUCAUUUCAACCCUCAAGCCCAGCUUGGUGUUGGGACUCGCGAGUCAAAUCGCGUUCCCCAAAUUGAUUGGCGGUCACGUCGAGCUUCCAUAGCGUAGUAGUAAAACCCUCGUUACUGGUAAUCGUCGCGGCCACGCCGUUAAACCCCAACUUCUGAAUGUUGACCUCGGAUCAGGUAGGAAUACCCGCUGAACCUAAGCAUAUC
rnacentral:misc_RNA from 1 species